AAUAGAUACCCAGGUAGUCCACGCCGUAAACGUUGGGCGCUAGAUGUGGGGACCUUUCCACGGUUUCCGUGUCGUAGCUAACGCAUUAAGCGCCCCGCCUGGGGAGUACGGCCGCAAGGCUAAAACUCAAAGGAAUUGACGGGGGCCCGCACAAGCGGCGGAGCAUGCGGAUUAAUUCGAUGCAACGCGAAGAACCUUACCAAGGCUUGACAUAACCGAGAACACCGUAGAAAUACGGGACUCUUUGGACACUCGGUUACAGGUGGUGCAUGGUUGUCGUCAGCUCGUGUCGUGAGAUGUUGGGUUAAGUCCCGCAACGAGCGCAACCCUCGUCGCAUGUUGCCAGCACGUCAUGGUGGGAACUCAUGUGAGACUGCCGGGGUCAACUCGGAGGAAGGUGGGGAUGACGUCAAAUCAUCAUGCCCCUUAUGUCUUGGGCUUCACGCAUGCUACAAUGGCCGGUACAAAGGGCUGCGAUGUCGUAAGGCGGAGCGAAUCCCAAAAAGCCGGUCUCAGUUCGGAUUGAGGUCUGC
rnacentral:rRNA from 1 species